UGGUAUGGGACACCUGUCUAUAUUGAUGUAGACAAAAGUACAUUAAAAUCAAAAUACUUGCACCGUUUUAGAAUUUUCAAAUUUUACAAUAUAUGAUAAAAAAAAUAUGUUUAAAAAUGUUUGAAAACGAUAAAAAUAUAAAAGGCCCAGAGGGAUUCAAACUCAUGAAUUACAGAUUCAUGGCAAUCGCCGAAACCCAUUACGUUACGCUGAUAUGUAACAAUUUUGGAGGUAAAGAAUUGUACGCUGUUAUACUUCAUUUUAUUGUUUAUUUGGAUUGGAAGUACGUCACAACAUGGAAGUGUCCCAUACCACCUUAACUGGAUCAAUUUGUCUCUUUGUUGUGAGUACCCGGCUUAUAACUUUAGUUUUACGGAAUCGUACAAUUAUUGUGUUGUCAACUUUACAAUGGAAUCCUGUGGUUGUGUACACGCAUUCAGGGUAUUGUGUUUUCACGUCCAUGACAUUUCAUUUGCCCACUUUCUUCUCAAUCAGUUCCACUUUGAAAGUUGAAUCUCGUGAAUGAAAUAUAUCUUUAACUUCACUUCUGAAUCUCAUGCUAUUUAAUUUUCAAAUAUUUUAAAGUAAUCUGAAGCAGGCGCCUUCUUGCAUCGUAAAAGUAUUAUUUGUAUUUUAUUUAUAUCGUAUCAUUUAUAUCUUUUGUAUAAAUGGCGGAAUACUAUUUGUGUACGUCUUAUUAUUAAAGAACUAUUUAUUAAGUUGUUUUCAUGUAUUUUGUUAUUUACAUAUAUGCAAGGACCAGACACUUUAUACAAAAAUCAAUAAGUACUGUCAAUUGAAAUAAAUGAAAUCCAGU
rnacentral:misc_RNA from 1 species